rnacentral:rRNA from 1 species
UACGGGAGGCAGCAGUGGGGAAUAUUGGGCAAUGGGCGCAAGCCUGACCCAGCAACGCCGCGUGAGGGAAGAAGGCUUUCGGGUCGUAAACCUCUGUCCCAUGGGACGAGAAAGAGACGGUACCAUGGGAGGAAGCCCCGGCUAACUACGUGCCAGCAGCCGCGGUAAUACGUAGGGGGCGAGCGUUGUCCGGAAUGACUGGGCGUAAAGGGCGCGUAGGCGGCUUUUUAAGUCCGGAGUGAAAGUCCCGCUUUCAAGGUGGGAAGUGCUUUGGAAACUGAAAGGCUAGAGUGUGGGAGAGGAUAGCGGAAUUCCCGGUGUAGCGGUGAAAUGCGUAGAGAUCGGGAGGAACACCAGUGGCGAAGGCGGCUAUCUGGACCAAGACUGACGCUGAAGCGCGAAAGCGUGGGUAGCAAACAGGAUUAGAUACCCUGGUAGUCCACGCCGUAAACGAUGGAUGCUAGGUGUAGGAGGUAUCGACCCCUUCUGUGCCGCAGUAAACACAAUAAGCAUCCCGCCUGGGGAGUACGGCCGCAAGGUUGAAACUCAAAGGAAUUGACGG